rnacentral:rRNA from 1 species
UACGUAGGGUGCGAGCGUUAAUCGGAAUUACUGGGCGUAAAGCGUGCGCAGGCGGUUUUGUAAGCCAGAUGUGAAAGCCCCGGGCUCAACCUGGGAAUGGCAUUUGGGACUGCAAGGCUGGAGUUUGGCAGAGGAGACUGGAAUUCCUGGUGUAGCAGUGAAAUGCGUAGAUAUCAGGAGGAAUACCGAUGGCGAAGGCAGGU